rnacentral:rRNA from 1 species
UGGGGAAUCUUGCACAAUGGGGGAAACCCUGAUGCAGCGACGCCGCGUGAGCGAUGAAGGUUUUCGAAUCGUAAAGCUUUGUCCUAUGGGAAGAUAAUGACGGUACCAUAGGAGGAAGCCCCGGCUAACUACGUGCCAGCAGCCGCGGUAAUACGUAGGGGGCGAGCGUUGUCCGGAAUUACUGGGCGUAAAGGGUUCGCAGGCGGCAUGACAAGUCCGAUGUAAAAGGCGAAAGCUCAACUUUCGUAAGCAUCGGAAACUGUCAAGCUUGAGUGAAGGAGAGGCAAGUGGAAUUCCUAGUGUAGCGGUGGAAUGCGUAGAUAUUAGGAGGAAUACCGGUGGCGAAGGCGACUUGCUGGACUUCAACUGACGCUGAGGAACGAAAGCGUGGGUAGCAAACAGG